rnacentral:rRNA from 1 species
AGGAUGAACGCUGGCGGCGUGCCUAACACAUGCAAGUCGAACGUCCUGUCUCGCAAGAGGCAGGGAGUGGCGGACGGGUGAGUACCACGUGGGUGAUCUACCGUGAGGUGAGGAAUACCGGCGAGAAAUCGCCGACAAGACCGCAUAGCCUCGGUGCAAGCCGAGGAAAAGCUCUCUCGAGAGAGGGAGCGCCACACGAGGAGCCUGCGCCCGAUUAGCUAGCUGGUGGAGUAACGGUUCACCAGGGCGACGAUCGGUAGCUGGUCUGAGAGGACGAUCAGCCACACUGGGAUUGAGAACGGCCCAGACUCCUACGGGGAGCAGCAGUGAGGAAUUUCGUCAAUGGGGGCAACCCUGAACGAGCAACGCCGCGUGCAGGAAGAAGGUUUUCGGAUCGUAAACUGCUUUCUCGGGAAGAGAACGGACGGUACCCGAGGAAUCGAGCCCGGCUAACUACGUGCCAGCAGCCGCGGU